AUUUAAAUAGUUUAAUAAAAAUUUUAAUUUGUGGAAUUAAAGAUAUAGAAAAUUUCUAUUUUAAAUA
rnacentral:tRNA from 1 species